AUUGAACGCUAGCGGCAGGCCUAACACAUGCAAGUCGAACGAGUGGCGGACGUGUGAGUAAUGACUGUGAAACUGCCUGAUGGAGGGGGAUAACUACUGGAAACGGUAGCUAAUACCGCAUACCAUCGGAUGUGCCCAGAUGGGAUUAGGUAGUAGGUGGGGUAAAGGCUCACCUAGGCGACGAUCCCUAGCUGGUCUGAGAGGAGGACCAGCCACACCUGAAAUGAGACAAGGUCCAGACUCCUACGGGAGGCAGCAGUGGGGAAUAUUUCACAAUGGGGGCAAGCCUGAUUCAGCCAUGCCGCGUGUGUGAUGAAGGCCUUCGGGUUGUAAAGUACUUUCAGCGGGGAGGCGUUACCUGCAGAAGAAGCACCGGCUAACUCCGUGCCAGCAGCCGCGGUAAUUC
rnacentral:rRNA from 1 species